rnacentral:rRNA from 1 species
GUCCCGCCUGCCCAGUGACCCUGUUUAACGGCCGCAGUACUCUAACCGCGCAAAGGUAGCAUAAUCACUUGUCUUUUAAAUGAAGACUCGUAUCAACGGCAUCACGAGGGUUCCACUGUCUCCUUUUUCUAAUCAGUGAAACUAAUCUACCCGUGAAGAAGCGGGUAUAAACCUAUAAGACGAGAAGACCCCAUGGAGCUUUAAACCUAGCUGCACCCCUCCACCCUUAUAUCCUCUACUAGCCGGGACCCUCAUGCCAGGUUUUAGGUUGGGGCGACCACGGAGCAUAAUUA